ACUCCUACGGGAGGCAUCGGUGGGGAAUAUUGCACAAUGGAGGAAACUCUGAUGCAGCAACGCCGCGUGGAGGAUGACGCAUUUCGGUGUGUAAACUCCUUUUAUAAGGGAAGAUAAUGACGGUACCUUAUGAAUAAGCACCGGCUAACUCCGUGCCAGCAGCCGCGGUAAUAC
rnacentral:rRNA from 1 species